GGGUUGUGAGGUUAAGCGACUAAGCGUACACGGUGGAUGCCCUGGCAGUCAGAGGCGAUGAAGGACGUGCUAAUCUGCGAAAAGCGUCGGUAAGGUGAUAUGAACCGUUAUAGCCGGCGAUGUCCGAAUGGGGAAACCCAGUGCAAUUCGUUGCACUAUCGUUAACUGAAUACAUAGGUUAACGAGGCGAACCGGGGGAACUGAAACAUCUAAGUACCCCGAGGAAAAGAAAUCAACCGAGAUUCCCCCAGUAGCGGCGAGCGAACGGGGAGCAGCCCAGAGUCUGAAUCAGCUUGUGUGUUAGUGGAACGGUCUGGAAAGUCCGACGGUACAGGGUGAUAGUCCCGUACACCAAAAUGCACAGGUUGUGAACUCGAAGAGUAGGGCGGGACACGUGGUAUCCUGUCUGAAUAUGGGGGGACCAUCCUCCAAGGCUAAAUACUCCUGACUGACCGAUAGUGAACCAGUACCGUGAGGGAAAGGCGAAAAGAACCCCGGCGAGGGGAGUGAAAAAGAACCUGAAACCGUGUACGUACAAGCAGUGGGAGCACCUUCGGGUGUGACUGCGUACCUUUUGUAUAAUGGGUCAGCGACUUAUAUUCUGUAGCAAGGUUAACCGUAUAGGGGAGCCGCAGGGAAACCGAGUCUUAACUGGGCGUUAAGUUGCAGGGUAUAGACCCGAAACCCGGUGAUCUAGCCAUGGGCAGGUUGAAGGUUGGGUAACACUAACUGGAGGACCGAACCGACUAAUGUUGAAAAAUUAGCGGAUGACUUGUGGCUGGGGGUGAAAGGCCAAUCAAACCGGGAGAUAGCUGGUUCUCCCCGAAAGCUAUUUAGGUAGCGCCUCGUGAAUUCAUCUUCGGGGGUAGAGCACUGUUUCGGCUAGGGGGUCAUCCCGACUUACCAACCCGAUGCAAACUACGAAUACCGAAGAAUGUUAUCACGGGAGACACACGGCGGGUGCUAACGUCCGUCGUGAAGAGGGAAACAACCCAGACCGCCAGCUAAGGUCCCAAAGUCAUGGUUAAGUGGGAAACGAUGUGGGAAGGCACAGACAGCCAGGAUGUUGGCUUAGAAGCAGCCAUCAUUUAAAGAAAGCGUAAUAGCUCACUGGUCGAGUCGGCCUGCGCGGAAGAUGUAACGGGGCUAAACCAUGCACCGAAGCUGCGGCAGCGACACUAUGUGUUGUUGGGUAGGGGAGCGUUCUGUAAGCCUGCGAAGGUGGCCUGUGAGGGCUGCUGGAGGUAUCAGAAGUGCGAAUGCUGACAUAAGUAACGAUAAAGCGGGUGAAAAGCCCGCUCGCCGGAAGACCAAGGGUUCCUGUCCAACGUUAAUCGGGGCAGGGUGAGUCGACCCCUAAGGCGAGGCCGAAAGGCGUAGUCGAUGGGAAACAGGUUAAUAUUCCUGUACUUGGUGUUACUGCGAAGGGGGGACGGAGAAGGCUAUGUUAGCCGGGCGACGGUUGUCCCGGUUUAAGCAUGUAGGCGGAGGUUCCAGGUAAAUCCGGUACCUUUUAACGCUGAGGUGUGAUGACGAGGCACUACGGUGCUGAAGUAACAAAUGCCCUGCUUCCAGGAAAAGCCUCUAAGCAUCAGGUAACAUUGAAUCGUACCCCAAACCGACACAGGUGGUCAGGUAGAGAAUACCAAGGCGCUUGAGAGAACUCGGGUGAAGGAACUAGGCAAAAUGGUGCCGUAACUUCGGGAGAAGGCACGCUGGUGUGUAGGUGAAGUCCCUGCGGAUGGAGCUGAGACCAGUCGAAGAUACCAGCUGGCUGCAACUGUUUAUUAAAAACACAGCACUGUGCAAACACGAAAGUGGACGUAUACGGUGUGACGCCUGCCCGGUGCCGGAAGGUUAAUUGAUGGGGUUAUCCGUAAGGAGAAGCUCUUGAUCGAAGCCCCGGUAAACGGCGGCCGUAACUAUAACGGUCCUAAGGUAGCGAAAUUCCUUGUCGGGUAAGUUCCGACCUGCACGAAUGGCGUAAUGAUGGCCAGGCUGUCUCCACCCGAGACUCAGUGAAAUUGAACUCGCUGUGAAGAUGCAGUGUACCCGCGGCAAGACGGAAAGACCCCGUGAACCUUUACUAUAGCUUGACACUGAACAUUGAGCCUUGAUGUGUAGGAUAGGUGGGAGGCUUUGAAGCGUGGACGCCAGUCUGCGUGGAGCCAACCUUGAAAUACCACCCUUUAAUGUUUGAUGUUCUAACGUUGGCCCGUAAUCCGGGUUGCGGACAGUGUCUGGUGGGUAGUUUGACUGGGGCGGUCUCCUCCCAAAGAGUAACGGAGGAGCACGAAGGUUAGCUAAUCCUGGUCGGACAUCAGGAGGUUAGUGCAAUGGCAUAAGCUAGCUUGACUGCGAGCGUGACGGCGCGAGCAGGUGCGAAAGCAGGUCAUAGUGAUCCGGUGGUUCUGAAUGGAAGGGCCAUCGCUCAACGGAUAAAAGGUACUCCGGGGAUAACAGGCUGAUACCGCCCAAGAGUUCAUAUCGACGGCGGUGUUUGGCACCUCGAUGUCGGCUCAUCACAUCCUGGGGCUGAAGUAGGUCCCAAGGGUAUGGCUGUUCGCCAUUUAAAGUGGUACGCGAGCUGGGUUUAGAACGUCGUGAGACAGUUCGGUCCCUAUCUGCCGUGGGCGCUGGAGAAUUGAGGGGGGCUGCUCCUAGUACGAGAGGACCGGAGUGGACGCAUCACUGGUGUUCGGGUUGUCAUGCCAAUGGCACUGCCCGGUAGCUAAAUGCGGAAGAGAUAAGUGCUGAAAGCAUCUAAGCACGAAACUUGCCCCGAGAUGAGUUCUCCCUGAGACUUUAAGUCUCCUGAAGGAACGUUGAAGACGACGACGUUGAUAGGCCGGGUGUGUAAGCGCAGCGAUGCGUUGAGCUAACCGGUACUAAUGAACCGUGAGGCUUAACCUUACAACGCCGAAG
rnacentral:rRNA from 1 species